CCUACGGGCGGCUGCAGUGAGGAAUAUUGGUCAAUGGACGAGAGUCUGAACCAGCCAAGUAGCGUGAAGGAUGACUGCCCUAUGGGUUGUAAACUUCUUUUAUAUGGGAAUAAAAUGUUCCACGUGUGGGAUUUUGUAUGUACCAUAUGAAUAAGGAUCGGCUAACUCCGUGCCAGCAGCCGCGGUAAUACGGAGGAUCCGAGCGUUAUCCGGAUUUAUUGGGUUUAAAGGGAACGUAGGUGGAUUGUUAAGUCAGUUGUGAAAGUUUGCGGCUCAACCGUAAAAUUGCAGUUGAAACUGGCAGUCUUGAGUACAGUAGAGGUGGGCGGAAUUCGUGGUGGAGCGGUGAAAUGCUUAGAUAUCACGAAGAACUCCGAUUGCGAAGGCAGUUCACUGGACUGCAACUGACACUGAGGCUCGAAAGUGUGGGUAUCAAACAGGAUUAGAUACCCGUGUAGUC
rnacentral:rRNA from 1 species